CCUGUGGCUCAGAUGGUAGAGAAUCUGCCUGCAAUGCAGGCGACCCGGGUUCGAACCCUGGGUCAGGA
rnacentral:tRNA from 1 species